rnacentral:rRNA from 1 species
GACAGCAGCAGCCGCGGUAAUACAGAGGGUGCGAGCGUUAAUCGGAUUUACUGGGCGUAAAGCGUGCGUAGGCGGCUUUUUAAGUCGGAUGUGAAAUCCCUGAGCUUAACUUAGGAAUUGCAUUCGAUACUGGGAAGCUAGAGUAUGGGAGAGGAUGGUAGAAUUCCAGGUGUAGCGGUGAAAUGCGUAGAGAUCUGGAGGAAUACCGAUGGCGAAGGCAGCCAUCUGGCCUAAUACUGACGCUGAGGUACGAAAGCAUGGGGAGCAAACAGGAUUAGAUACCCGGGUAGUCCCUGUCUCUUAUAC